rnacentral:rRNA from 1 species
CGACUAGGGGAGUCCGUCCUGCCGUCCGCUUCCACCCCCCGCCCCCGGCCCCCGUUAUAGCUGUCAAGAUCGCCAAUCCCCGCGGCGAAAUCCCAGGAGGAGGAAGGCACUCGGCAGAAACAAAUUCGCGCCAGCGCCGUCGAGCGAGAGAGAGAUACAGAGAUGGCGUCGGCGAUCCGCUUCGCUGCGGCGCUCCGUCAGCGGCUUCCACGCCUCCUGUCCUCCGCCACCAGAUCUGUGCCGCGAGCGCUCGGGGAGG